rnacentral:rRNA from 1 species
CGGGACACGUGGUAUCCUGUCUGAAUAUGGGGGGACCAUCCUCCAAGGCUAAAUACUCCUGACUGACCGAUAGUGAACCAGUACCGUGAGGGAAAGGCGAAAAGAACCCCGGCGAGGGGAGUGAAAAAGAACCUGAAACCGUGUACGUACAAGCAGUGGGAGCACGCUUAGGCGUGUGACUGCGUACCUUUUGUAUAAUGGGUCAGCGACUUAUAUUCUGUAGCAAGGUUAACCGAAUAGGGGAGCCGAAGGGAAACCGAGUCUUAACUGGGCGUUAAGUUGCAGGGUAUAGACCCGAAACCCGGUGAUCUAGCCAUGGGCAGGUUGAAGGUUGGGUAACACUAACUGGAGGACCGAACCGACUAAUGUUGAAAAAUUAGCGGAUGACUUGUGGCUGGGGGUGAAAGGCCAAUCAAACCGGGAGAUAGCUGGUUCUCCCCGAAAGCUAUUUAGGUAGCGCCUCGUGAAUUCAUCUCCGGGGGUAGAGCACUGUUUCGGCAAGGGGGUCAUCCCGACUUACCAACCCGAUGCAAACUGCGAAUACCGGAGAAUGUUAUCACGGGAGACACACGGCGGGUGCUAACGUCCGUCGUGAAGAGGGAAACAACCCAGACCGCCAGCUAAGGUCCCAAAGUCAUGGUUAAGUGGGAAACGAUGUGGGAAGGCCCAGACAGCCAGGAUGUUGGCUUAGAAGCAGCCAUCAUUUAAAGAAAGCGUAAUAGCUCACUGGUCGAGUCGGCCUGCGCGGAAGAUGUAACGGGGCUAAACCAUGCACCGAAGCUGCGGCAGCGACGCUGAUGCGUUGUUGGGUAGGGGAGCGUUC